GACUGUUCCAGUGGCCUAGUGGUUAGAGCGUCCGCCUCUGAUGCGGGAGGUUGUGGGUUAGAUCCACAGCUAAGUCG